rnacentral:rRNA from 1 species
CACGGGGUUGCGAGCGUUGUCCGGAAUUACUAGGCGUAAAGGGCAGGCAGGCGGAUCCAUAAGUUUAUCGUUUAAGGCGUCGGCUUAACCGGCGUAGGGCGGUAGAUACUGUGGAUCUGGAAUGCGGUUGGGGAAGACAGAAUUCAUGGUGUAGCGGUGGAAUGCGCAGAGAUCAGGAGGAAUACCGAAGGCGAAGGCAGUCUUCCAAGCCGUUAUUGACGCUCAACUGCGAAGGUGUGGGUAUCAAACAGGAUUAGAUACCCUGGUAGUCCCU